CUACUGGUAAGGAAGACGGGGAGGGAGGCGAAUGGUUGGUUUCCUCGCUGGGUAACUGCGUUGAGAACAGGGUAGAAAAUUUCCUCUGCUGUUCGAGUGGAAACUACCACUAGAUACGUGGGAGGACAACAGCCUGCCUACCUAUUCAUAUCACUACUGAAGCCUACUAAACAGGAACCAUUGGAAUGACUGGAGAACAGGUCGGAAUGUGGUUCAGUAAAGGAAUAUGAACUACUGAAAACAUAGGGAUGAACAAGGAUCCGAUGUAGUACAACGUGUAUUACAAAAUAUGAAUAAAAUAAUUGCAGAUUGUUGAUUGCCUGUUUCACAAAUUACCAAACUACUAUAUACAGAAGCACACUGGCACUACGCAAGGCCCCCUUAUGAGUUUGGAGAUCAUCCACGUACUUUGAGGGUCAUCUUGUCUUGAAAAGAGUGAGAGGUCCAGUGCCGAGGGAGUGACUCACUGCUCUGGACAGAGUGUUUGAACGUUUGGAAUGGAAUUAAAGGUUGUGUGGAUACUAACACACUGAUAAACACAUCCCCAGUCAUGCUUUUUGUCUCGAUUAAAGUAACACGUUUACAUGUUUCAUGUUGUUGCAUGAGAUACGUAUAUAAUAAAAUAAAGCUUGCUUGGAAAAUAUUUGUUCAGAGUAUUGCAGCCUAAUAAACAACUGCAUGUGAAAAA